UGAGUCGGUCGGGUGGCCGCGGUCCGGGAAACCGGGCUGAGGAAGGUCGGGGCUCCAUAGGGCAGGGUGCUGGCGAAACGCCAGUCGGGGUGACCCGAAGGAAAAGUGCCACAGAGAGCAAACCGCCGAUGGCCGGCAAGCCCCUCGGGGGCCCGCCGGCACAGGCAAGGGUGAAACGGUGCGGUAAGAGCGCACCAGCGUCCGGGGUGACUCGGGCGGCUAGGAAAACCCCACCCGGAGCAAGGCCGAACAGGGGAUGGCGGCCCGCCGGUGCCUCGUCAGAGGCACAGUCCCCGGGUAGGCCGCGUAGAUGGAUGGCCACCCCGCCGCUUCGGCGGCGGACAGAACCCCGCCUAUAGACCGACUCACCGU
rnacentral:RNase_P_RNA from 1 species